rnacentral:rRNA from 1 species
UACGGAGGAUCCAAGCGUUACCCGGAAUUAUUGGGCGUAAAGCGUUACGUAGGCGGUUUGUUAAGUGAGAUGUGAAAUCGCUGGGCUCAACCCAGCGUUGGUAUUUCAAACUGGCAGACUUGAGGAUGGUAGAGGUGAGUGGAAUUGCUGGUGUAGGGGUGAAAUCCGUAGAUAUCAGCAGGAACACCAAUGGCGAAGGCAGCUCACUGGGCCAUUCCUGACGCUAAGGUACGAAAGCGUGGGGAGCGAACCGG